rnacentral:rRNA from 1 species
AUUGAACGCUGGCGGCAGGCCUAACACAUGCAAGUCGAGCGGAUGAAGGGAGCUUGCUCCUGGAUUCAGCGGCGGACGGGUGAGUAAUGCCUAGGAAUCUGCCUGGUAGUGGGGGAUAACGUCCGGAAACGGGCGCUAAUACCGCAUACGUCCUGAGGGAGAAAGUGGGGGAUCUUCGGACCGCACGCUAGCAGAUGAGUCUAGGUCGGAUUAGCUAGUUGGUGGGGUAAAGGCCUACCAAGGCGACGAUCCGUAACUGGUCUGAGAGGAUGAUCAGUCACACUGGAACUGAGACACGGUCCAGACUCCUACGGGAGGCAGCAGUGGGGAAUAUUAGACAAUGGGCGAAAGCCUGAUCCAGCCAUGCCGCGUGUGUGAAGAAGGUCUUCGGAUUGUAAAGCCCUUUAAGUUGGGAGGAAGGGCAGUAAGUUAAUACCUUGCUGUUUUGACGGUACCAACAGAAUAAGCACCGGCUAACUUCGUG